AUAGCUACAGAUGCUAGGAGGCACUUCUUUGGUGAGGAUCAAUGACUUGCCAAGUUUGGAGUCCACUGGACAGCGAUUUUUGUGUUAUCGAAUGUGAAACUGACGAGCCUUCCAGUGUUGCUGCUGGAGAGGCAGAAAGCCUGGUUGUUCUUUGUACUCUCUACCCCCGUAGCUGCAGAGGGGACAGACACGGGAACAAAAAUCUACCUAAAGGUUAAAAGGAGAAUUUGAUUUCUGUCUAACAGAAUUUUCUGUUAGACAUCUGCUAAGAUGAUGAGUUAUUGGUUGUCAAUCCUGUAUAUAUCGACCGUAAUCUUCCAGAAUCUGUCCUUCCUAUAUGUGUUAAAAGAGGAUAUGCUGUGAGCUAUAGAACAGAAUUAAUUAUUUUUCCUCUAGAAGAAGAAAAGAGAAGAUAAUUGCUAAAAUAACACUUCGAUCAAAGAUGUCUCUAAAUGCUGAGUACUGUGUAAG